rnacentral:rRNA from 1 species
AUACGGGGGGUGCAAGCGUUAUUCGGAUUUAUUGGGCGUAAAGAGCGCGUAGGCGGCUUGGUAAGUCAGAUGUGAAAGCCCGGGGCUCAACCCCGGAAGUGCAUUUGAAACUAUCAGGCUUGAGUAUGGGAGAGGGAAGUGGAAUUCCUGGUGUAGAGGUGAAAUUCGUAGAUAUCAGGAGGAACACCGGUGGCGAAGGCGACUUCCUGGACCAAUACUGACGCUGAGGCGCGAAGGCGUGGGGACCAAACAGGAUUAGAAACCCUAGUAGUCC